rnacentral:rRNA from 1 species
UGGGGGAUAACGCAUCGAAAGAUGCGCUAAUACCGCAUAAUCUCUAAGGAGAAAAGCAGGGGAUCGCAAGACCUUGCGCUUUUGGAGCGGCCGAUGUCUGAUUAGCUAGUUGGUGAGGUAAAGGCUUACCAAGGCUUCGAUCAGUAGCUGGUCUGAGAGGACGACCAGCCACACUGGGACUGAGACACGGCCCAGACUCCUACGGGAGGCAGCAGUGGGGAAUUUUGGACAAUGGGGGCAACCCUGAUCCAGCCAUGCCGCGUGAGUGAAGAAGGCCUUCGGGUUGUAAAGCUCUUUCAGCCGGAACGAAAAGGUUACGGUUAAUACCCGUGACUAAUGACGGUACCGGAAGAAGAAGCACCGGCUAACUAACGUGCCAGCAGCCGCGGUAAUACGUAGGGUGCGAGCGUUAAUCGGAAUUACUGGGCGUAAAGCGUGCGCAGGCGGUUUUGUAAGUCAGAUGUGAAAUCCCCGGGCUUAACCUGGGAACUGCGUUUGAAACUACAAGGCUAGAGUGUGGCAGAGGGGGGUGGAAUUCCACGUGUAGCAGUGGAAAUGCGUAGAGAUGUGGAGGAACACCGAUGGCGAAGGCAGCCCCCUGGGUUAACACUGACGCUCAGGCACGAAAGCGUGGGGAGCAAACAGGAUUAGAUACCCUGGUAGUCCACGCCCUAAACGAUGUCAACUAGUUGUCGGGUCUUAACGGGCUUGGUAACGCAGCUAACGCGUGAAGUUGACCGCCUGGGGAGUACGGUCGCAAGAUUAAAACUCAAAGGAAUUGACGGGGACCCGCAUAAGCGGUGGAUUAUGUGGAUUAAUUCGAUGCAACGCGAAAAACCUUACCUACCCUUGACAUGUACCGAAGCCCGCCGAGAGGUGGGCGUGCCCGAAAGGGAACGGUAACACAGGUGCUGCAUGGCUGUCGUCAACUCGUGUCGUGAGAUGUUGGGUUAAGUCCCGCAACGAGCGCAACCCUUGUCAUUAAUUGCCAUCAUUCAGUUGGGCACUUUAAUGAAACUGCCGGUGACAAACCGGAGGAAGGUGGGGAUGACGUCAAGUCCUCAUGGCCCUUAUGGGUAGGGCUUCACACGUAAUACAAUGGCGCGUACAGAGGGUUGCCAAGCCCGCGAGGGGGAGGCUAAUCUCAGAAAGCGCGUCGUAGUACGGAUCGGAGUCU